GUAUGUAUUUUGAUGCAUUUUGGAAGGCUUGCUAUCAGGGUCAAGUUACCAAGGAACAUCACCUGGAGGGAGAAGCCCAUGAAAGGUGUCUCCCAGAGAGGGGAAUUCAUGAGAUAGGACCUGUGUUUUAGUCAGCUUUUGAAUCACUGUGACCAAAAUACCUGACGAGAACAACUUAGAGAAGACAAAGUUCUCUUGGGGCUCACCUUAAGUUUCAGAAGUCUCAGUCCAUAGACAGCUGACUCCAUUGCUCUGGGCCUGAGGUGAGGCAGCCAUUGUAGUCGAAGGGCCAGUGGAGGAAAGCUACUCAGCUCAGGGUGGGGUCAGGAAAAAGAGGCCACAGAAAAGAUGUCCUUUUCCAGAGCACACUUACAGUGACCCACCUCCACCUGCCUACAGUUACUUCCAAGUCAGUCCACGCAAAUGAGAACACACUGAUUAGGUUACAGCUCUCACAACCAAAUCAUUUUGCCUCUGAAUAUUAAUGUGUUAACAGGAGCUUUGAGGGGGAGACCUCAUAUCCAAACUAUUACACUCUACCUCUGGCACUCAAACGCUCACAAAACUUAACAGUUCAGCAUUGUCCGUAAGUCCAAGUCUAAGACAAACUCUAGGCUGUUUAUCCCUUUAAAGAUAAAAAGCAAGUUACAUAUAUCCAAUAUAAAAUGGCACAGGGCAAACACUCCCAUUCCAAAAGGGAGAAGGGAGCACAGAAAGAAGGGAUGGGCCAAAGCACGACCUAAACCCAGCCAAGCAAACAGGUCUGGUAACUCCGCAUACAGCAUCUAGGACACUUGGCUGUAAGAUAUUAUUUCCAAAGGGCUUGAGCAGCUCUGCCUCUUUGGCCUUGCUGGUCUCAAUGCAACUGCCCCUAUUUUAGCCUGGCUCUCUCUGCAGUCAGCAGUUCUUCUCAGCAAACAGUCUGUGUGACUGGCAUCUUCUUUCCAGUUUCAGCUUCACCUUCGCAGCUUCAGUCAUCACCUUCUCAGGGACAGCCCACAAAGUAUAUGACCCUGCUAUACUUUGCCUGGCCUCCCAGGCCUUCCUUUGAAAUCUCAGUGGAAGCCUCUACCACCCCCUAACCCAAACAUCCUGCAUUCCUCCAGAACCAGCAUCCGCACAUCGCAUGGAUGAGAAUAAGAUCUGCUGCCAUCUGGCGCAAUACUUGGGCCCUAGAGAAUCACGGUGGCAGUGACCUUUGAGUGCCUGCAGGGCUUAGCAUGGUGAAACAACUUCCUAGGCCCCCCAGUGUGAGCAGGAUGCCCCAUAAUCUCUUUUCAAAGGAAUUUUCUUUUAUAUCCCCCCUCCCCCAGCCUGCAGUGAGUGUGGUCUUGCAGGUUUGUGAGAUACCCUCAAGGCAUCUUUCCUAUUGUUUCUGUGCAAAGUACUGUUUCUUUGGGGGCUAUCAUUUCUUCAACAAGCACAGCUUCCAUGACCCCAGUUUUAUGUGCACUUUUUUGGCCAAACUGCAAGUUUUAAAAAUUCUAUAGCUCUCUUUUCUGUUACCAAUUCUAAUUUCAACCUGGCUCAAAGCUGCCAGCAACAUCUAUGCCACUGAAUGAAUGCUAUGCUGCCUUGAAAGUUUCUCUGCCAGAUUCAUAUAGUCCAUCAUUUUAAAAUUCAGCCUCACACAAAGUCUCAGGAUAUGGGAAAAAUGUAGACUUUUUUUUUUUUUUUUGCCAGCAUAUAACACAAAUGGCCUCUAGUCCAAUUUGCAAUAGAGUCCUCAAUUCCCUCUGAAACAUCAUGGACACAGUUCACAUUCCUAUCCUCAUUCUGGUCUUCUGAGCUCCCACCAGAGUUGCCCAUUAAGCUCUGCUUACACAUUUUAAAGCUUUUCUGGGUUUCAUUUCCAAACUUUUCUAAAUUCCUCCUGCAGAUCAUUUCCAAAGAUUAACCACAUGGUCAGGUUAGUCAUAGGAAUGACCCUACUCCUGGUACCAAUUUCUGUUUUAGUGAGCUUUUAUAUCACUGUGACCAAAAUACCUGACAAGAACAACUAAGAGGAAGGAAAGUUUAUUUGGGGCUCAUGAUUUUGGAGGUCUCAGUCCACAGUCGGCUGACUCUCCUGCUCUGAGCCCAAAGUAAGGAAACAUAUCAUGAGGAAAGGGCCCAGUGAAGGAAAGCACCCCAGCCCUGCAAAGUCAGGCAGCAGAAAGAGGGAAGGAAGGAGGGAGGAUGGGACCUCAGGGAAAAUGCACCCUUUCAGGGCACAUGCUCAGUGAUCCACUUCCCCCAACUGUACCACACAUACCUACAGUAACAACAUAGUCAAUCCACGUAAACUAGAAUGGACUGAUUAAGUUACAGUUUUCACAAUCAAAUCUUCUUUUUAUUGCUAAAUAUUUGUGUAUUAACAAAAGGCUUUGGGGCAUUCCUCAAAUUCAAACCAGAACAACUCACAACUGCAUUGCUUGUGCGUGCGUGUGUGUGUUAUUGUGGAUUGAACCUAGGGUCUUGUACAUGUUGCUGCUUUUUUAAAAGUCUGCAUAAGCCCAGCGUGGUGGCAUACAUGUGUAAUUCCAAUGGCUCAGGAGGCUGAGGCAGGAGGAUCCAGAGUUCAAAGCCAGCCUCAGCAAAAGCGAGGCACUCAGCAACUCAGUGAGACCCUGUCUCUAAAUAAAAUACAAAAUAGGGCUGGGGAUGUGGCUCAGAGGUCAAGUGCCCCUGAGUUUAGUCCCUGGUACCCCCACAAAAAAAGUCUAUAUAAAGAGGCAAAAGCCAUAGUGCUUUUCAUUCUAUAAUAUUUCUUUGCCUUGAUUGGGUUCAUGACUAAAAGGGCAUUAGAGUUUUACUUUUCUAUCCAUCCCUUUAAGUAAAUAUUUAACUUUAUGCAAGGCAUUGUGACAGGCACUGGCCCAAAGUAAGUGAUCUGAAAAUGUACAUAUUGUUAGCAUUAUAUUAAAAACCUCCUCAAAGGUUUCACAGAAUAAAGAGAUACAGACAUACAAAUCAAUGAACAGAAUUCAUUCAUUCAGUCAACAAAUAUUUACUAAAAAAUCUGUGUACCAGACACUACUCUAAGUCUUAAGGAUAGCAAAACAAACAAAACUCCCUGCCCUGUUGUGCUUACAUUCUAAGCUCUCAAGAGAGACAACAAACAAGAUUUCUGUGAGUGAUAAACAAGACAGUGAUAAGCAGGCUGUGGGUAUGGGAGCCUAGGGCAAUUCAACCAGUUAAAUCCCCUAUCCAAGAUGCUCACAUUGGAAAGAGGCCACACACUGCUUUGCUCUUUCUUCUUCUUUCACAGAAGAAUGAUAUCUUGAGAUAUCAUUAAGGGAGGAAAAUUUAGUUGAAUUGUAAUAAUACUUAGAAGAGAGAAAUACAGAACACAGGUUAGCUAUCUCAGAUCCCUAAUCCAAGAAAAGGAGAAAAUAAAACAGAAGAAAGAUUGAAUGUGUUUCUGUUGCAGGGAUGUGCUGUGGUGUGGUGAGGGGACCAGGGUAGGGAGGUCAGGGAAGACCUUACAAGAGAUUUUGGGUAAAAAUCUGAAGUAAAUGAGGAAGCUCACUGUGCAGACACCUGAGCAAAGAACACACCAGGCAGUGGGAACAGUAAGCACAAAGGUCUAAACUGCAUAGUAUGCAUAGCACAAGGGCAGGCAGGAGUCCACAGGCAGACAAGAGUCCACGCACAGGUGAACAGGUGAGAUGGGGAAAGAGGAUGCACAAUGGAGGACAAAUGAAACUUUAAAGAGACACUGGGGUUCAGCAGUGGAAAACAAACCAAAGCAAAAAGUGCCCCUGAGUUCAAUCCCUGGUACCCCCACAAAAAUGUCUAUAUAAAGAGGCAAUAGACAUAGUGAUUUUUCAUUCUAUAAUAUUUCUGUGUCCUUAAAUCUAUUGUCUGAAACUUGGAAUGGU
rnacentral:lncRNA from 1 species